rnacentral:lncRNA from 1 species
AGAUAUUUACAACAACUGCUAUUGUAGCAGAGAUAUUAUACUGAUAUUUACAAUCAGAUAUACAUAAUUGAGACUUAUAUUAUGACAUUGAAUUCUAUGAAGUACAUGCCCAAACAAAUAACCCCUCACAGGAGAGGGAUGUCCAUACUCCACUCGCAUUUCGCAAGGGAGAAUGAUUUUUUGGAAGUAUAAAGAAUAUUUAGCCCCCACAAUAUUUUUGUGGGGGCUAGAAUCGCUGCCCUCACAAUGCUUGUGAGGGCAGCAGCCCACCACUUCGGCCAAGGCCGAACUGGCCAUUCCUCUACAUCAUUUGGUUCCAUUCAUUUGCAUCAGUUUCUGCUUCAGCUUUGGGAUAUGAUAUUGUUUUGUCAUUAAGCUCCUCCUACAAGCAAUAUGGGUCUUUCUUUCUUGUACCAAUUCUCCAUAUAAGUGAAGGUACAUGCACUAUCAAAAAAAAAAUUAAAAAAAAAAUCAGGUGCGGACACAUGAAUUUUAACAAACACAGACUUAAGCUAAGUGUAUUCGAACAUUAAUAUAAUAUGUACAAUAGUUUGAUAGCACAUUAAAGUUCUUAAAGUUUUGUCUUUUGUAGCUGGGUAUCA